rnacentral:rRNA from 1 species
GCGGAGGAACAUGUGGUUAAGUUUCGAUGAUACGCGAGGAACCUUACCCGGGCUUGAAAUGCAUCUGACCGGCCUUGAAAGAGGCACUCCCUUCGGGGCAGAUGUGUAGGUGCUGCAUGGUUGUCGUCAGCUCGUGCCGUGAGGUGUCGGCUUAAGUGCCAUAACGAGCGCAACCCUCAUCAUUAGUUACCAUCAGGUAAGGCUGGGGACUCUAAUGAGACUGCCAUCGUAAGAUGUGAGGAAGGUGGGGAUGACGUCAAAUCAGCACGGCCCUUACGUCCGGGGCGACACACGUGUUACAAUGGGUGGUACAAAGGGCAGCUACCUGGCGACAGGAUGCUAAUCUCGAAAACCGCUCCCAGUUCGGAUCGGAGUCUGCAACUCGACUCCGUGAAGCUGGAUUCGCUAGUAAUCGCGCAUCAGCCACGGCGCGGUGAAUACGUUCCCGGGCCUU